rnacentral:rRNA from 1 species
CCUACGGGAGGCAGCAGUAAGGAAUAUUGGUCAAUGGGCGCAAGCCUGAACCAGCCAUGCCGCGUGCAGGAUGACGGCCCUCUGGGUUGUAAACUGCUUUUAUACGGGAAGAGCAGCGUCUACGUGUAGGUGUUUGACGGUACUGUAAGAAUAAGGACCGGCUAACUUCGUGCCAGCAGCCGCGGUAAUACGAAGGGUCCAAGCGUUAUCCGGAUUUAUUGGGUUUAAAGGGUGCGUAGGCGGCUUUUUAAGUCAGUGGUGAAAGCCUGAUGCUCAACAUCAGAACUGCCAUUGAUACUGAAGAGCUUGAGUACAGUUGAGGUUGGCGGAAUGUGUCAUGUAGCGGUGAAAUGCUUAGAUAUGACACAGAACACCGAUUGCGAAGGCAGCUAGCUAAGCUGUUACUGACGCUGAUGCACGAAAGCGUGGGGAGCAAACAGGAUUAGAUACCCUGGUAGUCCACGCCCUAAACGUUGAUAACUCGUUGUUAGCGAUAUACUGUUAGCGACCAAGCGAAAGCAUUAAGUUAUCCACCUGGAAGUACGGUCGCAAGAUUGAAACCUCAAAGGAAUUGACGG